rnacentral:lncRNA from 1 species
GUACUUAUUAUCCCUGAUCCCCAGGAUUUGUGGAAAGAACUAACAGCAUACUCGAAACUUAGUUGGCAAAGCUUUCAGAAGCAUUUAAUCUCUCAUGGCCAAAAGCUCUUCAAUCUUAGAUCUCCACCCUUUGGUAAGCAUUGACUGUCUCCUUUCGAGAUAAUAACUGAAUGGCCUAUGCAAUUAGAUGAGGAAAUAUACAAACCAACUUUGCUUGAGGGAGAUAUUACAUUGUUAUCACUGUCCCAUCAAGAUGCUUAAAUGAAAUGUUUGUAGCUGAUUCUUUCCACAGAGCUCCCAGACCUUAAGGAUCACGGACUAUAACCUGGAGAAUUUACUUAUUAAAAGAGUCAUCAAAUGAAAGACUUUUUGCAGCCUGUUGGAAAAGACCAUACCAGGGUGAGAAGAGGAUGGCAUCUGUGUAGACAGCUGUCCAAAGACUCCAGACCAGGGUGAGGCCGGGAAGAAGACGUCAAGUCUGGGAUGGCAGCUCCUGGAUCCCAAAACUGUAGAGUCACGAUGACUGCAGGUGGUGUCCAGAUUCUUCCUGAGCUAACAUCCAUUGCUGCCAAUCAUCCUCUUUUUGCUGAAGGAAGAUUGUCCCUGAGCUAACAUCUGUGGCAAUCUUCCUCUAUUUUGUAUGUGGGACGCCACCACUGAAUGGCUUGAUGAGCGGUUUGUAAGUCUGCACCCAGGAUCAAAA